AGGGAGAGCCAGUCAGAGACAGGGAGAGCCAGGGAGAGCCAGUCAGAGACAGGGAGAGCCAGUCAGAGACAGUCAAAGACAGCGAGAGACAGGGAGAGCCAGUCAGAGACAGGGAGAGACAGGGAGAGACAGGGAGAGCCAGUCAGAGCCAGUCAGAGCCAGUCAGAGAAAGGGAGAGACAGGUAGAGACAGUCAGAGACAGUCAGGAACAGUCAGAGACAGUCAGGGACAGGGAGAGCCAGUCAGAGACAGGGAGAGACAGGGAGAGACAGGGGGAACCAUUCAGAGACAGGGAGAGCCAUGGAGAGACAGUCAGAGGCAGUGAGAGACAGAGAGAGACAGGGAGAGAUGGGUAGAGACAGGGAGAGACAGAGAGAGACAGUCAGAGACAGGGGGAGACAGGGAGAGACAGGGAGAGCCAGGGAGAGCCAGUCAGAGACAGUCAGAGACAGGGAGAGACAGGGGGAACCAGUCAGAGACAGGGAGAGCCAUGGAGAGACAGUCAGAGGCAGUGAGAGACAGGGAGAGACAGGGAGAGACGGGUAGAGACAGGGAGAGACAGAGAGAGACAGUCAGAGACAGGGAGAGACAGGGAGAGCCAGGGAGAGACAGUCAGAGACAGGGAGAGCCAGUCAGAGACAGGGAGAGCCAGUCAGAGACAGUCAGAGACAGUCAGAGACAGUCAGAGACAGCGAGAGACAGGGAGAGCCAGUCAGAGACAGGGAGAGACAGGGAGAGCCAGUCAGAGACAGGGAGAGACAGGUAGAGACAGUCAGAGCCAGCCAGAGACAGGGAGAGACAGGGAGAGACAGAGACAGUCAGAGACAGUCAGAGCCAGGGAGAGCCAGUCAGAGACAGGGAGAGCCAGGGAGAGCCAGUCAGAGACAGGGAGAGACAGGGAGAACCAGUCAGAGACAGGGAGAGCCAGGGAGAGCCAGUCAGAGACAGGGAGAGCCAGUCAGAGACAGCGAGAGACAGUGAGAGCCAGGGAGAGCCAGUCAGAGACAGGGAGAGACAGGGAGAGCCAGUCAGAGCCAGUCAGAGCCAGUCAGAGCCAGGUAG